rnacentral:rRNA from 1 species
GAUGAACGCUGGCGGCGUGCUUAACACAUGCCAGUCGAACGGAAAGGCCCAAGCUUGCUUGGGUACUCGAGUGGCGAACGGGUGAGUAACACGUGGGUGAUCUGCCCUGCACUUCGGGAUAAGCCUGGGAAACUGGGUCUAAUACCGGAUAGGACGAUGGUUUGGAUGCCAUUGUGGAAAGUUUUUUCGGUGUGGGAUGAGCUCGCGGCCUAUCAGCUUGUUGGUGGGGUAAUGGCCUACCAAGGCGUCGACGGGUAGCCGGCCUGAGAGGGUGUACGGCCACAUUGGGACUGAGAUACGGCCCAGACUCCUACGGGAGGCAGCAGUGGGGAAUAUUGCGCAAUGGGCGCAAGCCUGAUGCAGCGACGCCGCGUGGGGGAUGACGGCCUUCGGGUUGUAAACUCCUUUCGCUAGGGACGAAGCGUUUUUGUGACGGUACCUGGAGAAGAAGCACCGGCUAACUACGUG